rnacentral:lncRNA from 1 species
ACCUAACACCAUUCGGGGGUGCAAGGAGAGCGGGAGUGGUGGUCACAGAGGUGACCCCAGUACCAGGAGCAGCAUGGGCCAAGGCCCAGGGGCAAGACAGCCCUGUGCUAUUCUCUGAGUCCUUUCCUCCAUCUCUCCACUGUGCAAAGCGUGGGAUUACAAUGCACAUUACAAGGGCUGGGAGACUUAGGGAGGCAGUUUCCUGAGCCCCGUGGAUACUCCCAGAGAUGGGCUCUGAGGCUUUCCUCGCAGGCCAGGGCUGUGGGGGCCUGAACCACCUCCUUCUUUGCAAAGGGACAGCCUGGAGCCACAGCCCAGGGCUGCUGUGAAGUGGUGCAUCUUUUCACCAAGUCACUUCUGGAUGUGACACAGACUGGACCUCAUGAGUGAGGCCCCCAGGGAAACCUCCCAGCCAGGUGGCUGAGCCCCACACCCAGAGGAGGCCAGCCUCAAAGGGAAGACACAGCCAGGAGGGGACAGCGCCUGCCCUUCCUCCGGCCACUGCACCUGCUGUGCACCGGCGCUAUAGCACAGCUGGGCAGAGUGAACCGCUGUCACCUGACUUCACCCACAUAGCAAUUUGUAUCUCUGAGACACUGGGAAAUUGAGGCACAGGUGGAAAUGGCAAUCCGUAGGUUAACACAGCUCAAUCAUUCAGAGCACCUGGACCUGGAGACAUCUCAGCUCUGCCACGUCCUUCUUGCAUGACCUCUAUGCAGUGAAUGCCCUGUGCCUCAGUUUCCCCAUCUGUAAAUUAAGAACCAUCACUGCUUCCUUGUGGGUCGUGAUCAGGAUGGAAGAACACAUUAAGAAGCCUCCUCAGAUGCCUAGCAUGUAAGAAACCUUGAUUAGAAUUACUACUCAGACCACAGAGCCAUUUCAUUAUUCUUAUUUUUGCCAUUAAGCAUGCUGU